rnacentral:rRNA from 1 species
UACGAAGGGGGCUAGCGUUGUUCGGAUUUACUGGGCGUAAAGCGCACGUAGGCGGGUACUUAAGUCAGGGGUGAAAUCCUGGAGCUCAACUCCAGAACUGCCUUUGAUACUGGGUAUCUCGAGUCCGGAAGAGGUGAGUGGAACUCCUAGUGUAGAGGUGGAAUUCGUAGAUAUUAGGAAGAACACCAGUGGCGAAGGCGGCUCACUGGUCCGGUACUGACGCUGAGGUGCGAAAGCGUGGGGAGCAAACAGG